UUGAUUUUAUUAUCGUUUGCUUCAGAGGACAAUGAUGGUUGGGUUUGAGAGGUCUUCUGGCGGGCGGACCCGCCAAAGAAACGAGGUUAUAACGACAAAGGGUUGAAGGUCAGCCCCGGAGGGCAUUCCCGAUAAUGAUCCUUCCGCAGGUUCACCUACGGAAA
rnacentral:misc_RNA from 1 species